AAAUCAUGUUGGUGACCAGCAUACAGAAGAGUAAAAAUAUCCAGGAAGAAGAAACAGACAGAGCACUUGAUCUCCUGAGGUGGAAAGUACUUUCUCUUUCUAGCCAAUGGCUUGUGUGGCAUGUAAUAAGGAAGUUUGCUCCUAAGGUUUCAAAGAAAAUAAAUAGUCCAUGUACUGACAAAGCAACAUCAAGAGCAGUAAAGAGAAGACAAUCCUGAGAGGACAUGAUGGGCAUCAAGUUUCCCAAGACAACAAAUGGUCCUGGAAAGAAGGAAGAUGAAUAUUCUGCUUGGGUCCUGCCUCACUUCAUCACAAACCCUAUGAAUACCACUCGUUAAAUACUAGAGCAAAAAAUAAAAAUAUAAGGACAGUCUUCAUUCCUGCUGAAUUUGUAAAGUCCUCCAGCAGCCAGUUCUUCACUGACAGGUCAUUGCAGCUCUAAGACUCUAUACCUCAAGGGAGAAUGGUCACCUCAGAAUUUAAGUCACAUAUGUAAAUUCUUAAGUGAUCAGGAAAAGGGAGAUUUCCAGUUGGACACCUGAAGCAUAAAAUAUCCUCUCUGAACAAAGAGAACCUGGUGCAUCAAUUAAUGAUGUUUGGAGAAGUAGGAUGUUGAGCAGGAAGAAGUGGGAAUAUUAUGUUGCUCCUGCUUCUAUUUUCUUUUAUAUUCAAAAGCCAUAGUGAUAAGCCAUUAGUCAUCUAUACUCUCUUCCCAGCAAGUCAUCUAGUCCCACCAUGUAAUAUGAGAGUCAAUAUUACAAAUAAGAUAUAUUCAGAAAGUUCAAGAUGACCUAGCUAAAGCUUCUCGCACAUCUGGAUCUGCAGAAUUUUGCCUUCUUUGGUUUAAUUUGAGUUCAGCCUGACUUAACUAUUUAAGGAAAUCAGACCUUCCUCCUCCUUCCCCUCCCUUCCCCAAAGGACUUAUACAAUGAAUUACAUUCAAAUUUCACCUACUUUGCAUCCUGUUAAAUUCCUCAACACAUAGUCCAAAGUUCAUGGGAAAUUGGCAAGAAGAGGAAAUUUCUAAAGUGGGAACUGUUAAAGGAAAGGUGUUAAGGAAGGGAUAAGGUCCAGGAAGAUUAAAAAGUGACUUUUUUUUUUCAGUACUAAAGUUCUUUUGUAUUUGUUUUUUGCACAUCUUAGUUUCAAAUGGUACCAAUCAUUCUACUCUGGAAUUAAGAUAUCUUAGAUACAGAUUUUUACAGAUGAGCUCAUUCAGUGAGUUUUUUCUCACUAAAAAGGGAAUGCAUCAGAAGAUUCAGGAGACAAAAUAAUGAUCAUCAACCUGGUUCAAUUUUUAAACUUUUUCAUUCAUACAAUGGUUACUAUGAAGCAAGUGUGGUUACAUUGUAAAUAUAGUGUAUUUGGAGCCAGAGUACCUGAAUUUGAAUCCUGUACCUUCCAUUUUUCUAUGUUUGUGAUCAUAAGGAUUAUUUGAAUCACCCAGUUUUUGGUGAUUUUAUCAGUUAUUUUAGUUGGUUGAACUCAUCUGACUCUUGGCAA